GACGAACGCUGGCGGCGUGCUUAACACAUGCAAGUCGAACGGAAAGGCCUGCUUUCCCUUGUGGAUUGCGGGUACUCGAGUGGCGAACGGGUGAGUAACACGUGAGUGAUCUGCCCCCAACUUGGGUAUAAGCCUGGGAAACUGGGUCUAAUUCUCGAUAGGACUGUAGGGUGGUGCCUGUGGUGGAAAACGAUUUUCUAGUGGUCGGGGAUGAGCUCGCGGCCUAUCAGCUUGUUGGUGGGGUAAUGGCCUACCAAGGCGGAGACGGGUAGCCGGCCUGAGAGGGUGGACCGGCACAUUGAGACUGAGAUACGGCCCAGACUCCUACGGGAGGCAGCAGUGGGGAAUAUUGCACAAUGGGCGGAAGCCUAAUGCAGCGAAGCAGCGUGGGGGAUGACGGCCUUCGGGUUGUAAACUCCUUGCGACCGCGAGGAAGCCACCUGGUUGGAAGGGUGGUGACGGUAGUGGUAGAAGAAGCACCGGCUAACUACGUG
rnacentral:rRNA from 1 species